rnacentral:rRNA from 1 species
UAGGGAAUCUUCCACAAUGGGCGAAAGCCUGAUGGAGCAACGCCGCGUGUGUUUUGAUGAAGGGUUUCGGCUCGUAAAACACUGUUGUAAGAGAAGAAUGACAUUGAGAGUAACUGUUCAAUGUGUGACGGUAUCUUACCAGAAAGGAACGGCUAAAUACGUGCCAG